rnacentral:tRNA from 1 species
CACUGUAAAGCUACCAGCAUUAACCUUUUAAGUUAAAGAUUGAGAGAGCCCCCUCUCUCUACAGUGA